GAUGAACGCUGGCGGCGUGCCUAACACAUGCAAGUCGAGCGAUUCUCUUCGGAGAAGAGCGGCGGACGGGUGAGUAACGCGUGGGUAACCUGCCCUGUACACACGGGUAACAUACCGAAAGGUAUGCUAAUACGAGAUAAUAUGCUUUUGUCGCAUGGUAGAAGUAUCAAAGCUCCGGGGGUACAGGAUGGACACGCGUCUGAUUAGCUAGUUGGUAAGGUAACGGCUUACCAAGGCGACGAUCAGUAGCCGACCUGAGAGGGUGAUCGGCCACAUUGGAACUGAGCCACGGUCCAAACUCCAACGGGAGGCAGCAGUGGGGAAUAUUGCACAAUGGGCGAAAGCCUGAUGCAGCAACGCCGCGUGAGCGAUGAAGGCCUUCGGGUCGUAAAGCUCUGUCCUCAAGGAAGAUAAUGACGGUACUUGAGGAGGAAGCCCCGGCUAACUACGUGCCAGCCGCCGCCGUAA
rnacentral:rRNA from 1 species